rnacentral:rRNA from 1 species
UACGUAGGGGGCGAGCGUUGUCCGAAGUUACUGGGCGUAAAGCGCGCGUAGGCGGUCUAUUAAGUCUGAGGUGAAAAGGUUCAGCGCUCAACGCGAACAGUGCCUUGGAUACUGGUAGACUUGAGUGUGGCAGAGGAGUAUGGAAUUCCUGGUGUAGCGGUGAAAUGCGUAGAUAUCAGGGGGAAUACCGAUGGCGAAGGCAGUACUCUGGGCUAACACUGACGCUGAGGCACGAAGGCCAGGGGAGCAAACGGG